UGCCAGCCGCCGCGGUAAUACAGAGGGUGCGAGCGUUAAUCGGAUUUACUGGGCGUAAAGCGUGCGUAGGCGGCUUAUUAAGUCGGAUGUGAAAUCCCCGAGCUUAACUUGGGAAUUGCAUUCGAUACUGGUGAGCUAGAGUAUGGGAGAGGAUGGUAGAAUUCCAGGUGUAGCGGUGAAAUGCGUAGAGAUCUGGAGGAAUACCGAUGGCGAAGGCAGCCAUCUGGCCUAAUACUGACGCUGAGGUACGAAAGCAUGGGGAGCAAACAGGAUUAGAUACCCUGGUAGUCCAUGCCGUAAACGAUGUCUACUAGCCGUUGGGGCCUUUGAGGCUUUAGUGGCGCAGCUAACGCGAUAAGUAGACCGCCUGGGGAGUACGGUCGCAAGACUAAAACUCAAAUGAAUUGACGGGGGCCCGCACAAGCGGUGGAGCAUGUGGUUUAAUUCGAUGCAACGCGAAGAACCUUACCUGGCCUUGACAUACUAGAAACUUUCCAGAGAUGGAUUGGUGCCUUCGGGAAUCUAGAUACAGGUGCUGCAUGGCUGUCGUCAGCUCGUGUCGUGAGAUGUUGGGUUAAGUCCCGCAACGAGCGCAACCCUUU
rnacentral:rRNA from 1 species